AGUCCUUCGCCGUCCCUCGCCGUCCUUCGCCAUCGCACGCCACCGCACCCCAUCUCUCGAAAUCUGCAGACAUCUUGAUUUUUCCCACGCUGUCUGUCAGGUCUCCGCCGCCACUCGACGCCAGGGCGCCGGGCCUUGUGGGCUGUGCUGCACCUCGGACGGCUUCGCACCAGCCAGCGCCCUCUCUCUCCUGCAGCACUCUGAUCUGCACCCCCUGAGGGGCUUCCACUGUCCGCGGGGUGAGAAUGCCCCUGGGAGUGUCACAUGACUGCCGCCCCAUGUGUGUGAGAGGCGUCCUCUGGGAGAGCAUGGAUCCUGAGGUCCCAGGAACAUCCCGAGAGCCAAGUUCCCAGAUGCCAGCCAAGGGCCAUCUGACCUGUUUUGAAUCUCAAUUUCCUGAUACAGAAAACAAAGGAUUGUCAGCUGACCUCUGUCCUGUGUGCCCAGUGGCCCCAGGUGACGUGUCUUCAAGAAGAGGCUGAGCUGCGGUGCUUGUAAGGGUCUCAUUCUGUCACCCAGGCUGGAGUGCAGUGGUGCAAUGAUGGCUCACUGCAGCCUCGACCUGGGCUCAAGUGAUCCUCCACCUCAGCUUCCUGAGUAGCUGGGACCACAGGUCUCAGCCUUAGAUCCAAGGACAGUCCAAGGAAGUCCUAAGACCAUGGAGUUGGUGAUCUGGGAUCUGGGUUUGCUGAUAUUUCUCACCGUGAAUCUCUUGGUGGUGUUUGUGGGCACGAGAGGGGCAGAGAAUGGAGAGUGAGGCUACCACAUGAAGCGUCACCAGAGCUGCUCCCUGCUGCCUGCUCAGAGCACCCCGGAUCCACUGUUCAAUCUGCACAAGAUUCGGGGUCCAGACAUGGGAGACUUCAGCUGCCUCAGAGGACCGUGGACAGGGAAGGCCAGCCUCGCAUCCCUCUGUCCAUGCCUGGAAUGACUUUAAUAACCAAGAGUUUUAUUUUUGAAUUUGUAGCUGUCGUUCACUUUUUACCCACCCAUUCAAUAAACCUUACAGAAUUGCUCCA
rnacentral:lncRNA from 1 species